GACGAACGCUGGCGGCGUGCUUAACACAUGCAAGUCGAACGGUGAAGCGCCUUCCUUUUUGGUGGGUGUGGAUGAGUGGCGAACGGGUGAGUAACACGUGAGUAACCUGCCCCCUUCUUCUGGAUAACCGCAUGAAAGUGUGGCUAAUACGGGAUAUUCUGGGUCUGUCGCAUGAUGGGUCUGGGAAAGAUAUUGUUUCGGUGGGGGAUGGGCUCGCGGCCUAUCAGCUUGUUGGUGGGGUGAAGGCCUACCAAGGCGGUGACGGGUAGCCGGCCUGAGAGGGUGGACGGUCACACUGGGACUGAGACACGGCCCAGACUCCUACGGGAGGCAGCAGUGGGGAAUAUUGCACAAUGGGCGCAAGCCUGAUGCAGCGACGCCGCGUGAGGGAUGGAGGCCUUCGGGUUGUGAACCUCUUUCGCCAGUGAAGCAGGCCUGCCUCGUUUGUGGGUGGGUUGACGGUAGCUGGAUAAGAAGCGCCGGCUAACUACGUG
rnacentral:rRNA from 1 species